GUUGUCUUAGAUUAGAUCAAGGAUUUUCUAGAUCAAUUACAAUAGUUGUAGUUGGUCAAGUCCAUGUCUUUAACAAGAACUAAAUGGACUUGAUUCUUGGCUAAGCGGUCUAGCACGAACUGUUAGGUUGAUCUAAUCGAAACUAAUUAAACCAGUUAGUGUCUAAGGUAAACCAGACCAGUGAUUUUUAAUUGGGAGCCCGCUUACCUGGCCAUUUUUGAUAGUGUCUAAGGCAAGCUUUGGCCGACCCUCCCAC
rnacentral:lncRNA from 1 species